CAGCAAUUAUUGACUACAUUUAAAUAUACAUUUUCCUGUUUUUAAUUAGAGUGUUGACGUUGAUAUGGAAAAUGUAUUUUAAAGAUACGCAAACAUUGAUAUGAUAUAUACUGAUGGGGAAGGGGAGUGCAAAAGAGUUAUAGUUCCCUCUCCCACCCCCCACCCCCCAUUUGAGAACUAACUGUGCCCCAGGUCUGAGUCCUUCAAGCCUGAGGUUUUGAACCUCACCUUAAUAAAGCUACCCAAGGGAUUCUGGUGAGCUUGGAAACUAUAGUUUUAAAGCAAAAAUGACUUCUGCCAACAAAGACACAUUCACCCCUCUACCCUGACCACUUACACAACCCCCACCCUCACCCCUACGCCUCAUACACAUGUUAACUAUGCUCUGGAUACACUGUCAUUCUAGUCUGGCUGGUUUGUUGUGUGCUUCUCCUGGGUAUCUCAUUUACUCUUAUGUUUCAAAUAUCCUCUAAAAAACAUCAACUUUCAUACUUUUUGUCCAGUUCAUGUCUAUAUAUUGAACUGCUUGCUCAUCAGACAUUUUUAUGUGGAUGUUUUACAGGCAUCUCAAAGUCAAUAUAUCCAAGACAAAACAAAUAAGCUUCUCUUCAAAUGCGUUCCUUCUAAGAGUAAACAGCACCACCAUAACCAGAUACUCUAAACAGAAACCUGGAAAUCAUAUCAAUCAUCCUCAUCUUCACAGCUUAUACCUACUCAAUCGUUCACAAUACCCAACAAUUCUAUCUGUUAAGUAUCUUAAAGCUCCAUUCCCAUUCCCUCCCGUCUCUGUAAUCCAAGCCACUUUAUCUCAACUGGACAGCUCUAGGAGCCUCCUAACAGACAUCCCUCUUCCAUUCUUACAUUUCUCCAAUCUAUUUUAACUGAGCAGAUUCAAAAGGAAAAUCAGACUAUAUUAUUUCCCAGUUGAAAUCCUUUCAAAGCAUUCCAAAUGCUUUUGGGAGAAAGGAUAAAAUCUUGACUAUGGCUCACAAGACAUGGAUUGUCCCACUCAUUUCUGCAACUUCAUCUCUUGGCCCUUUUUCCCUGGUUGUUGAACCUCUGAGCCUACAGGCCUUUUGUGAAUUCCUUGAAUGUGCCGAGUUAUUUCCCUCAGCUUCUAGACCUUUGCAGAUGCUAUUCCUUCUCUCUGGAACUCUCUCUUCUCCAUUUACUAUCCAGUAAAUCCCACAUUCAUCUUCUGGACCUCAGCUUAAAUGUCACUUCAGUGGAGAAGCCAUGAUUGACCACCCAUUCCUCCAGGCUAGGUCAGGUCCCCCCUUCCACACUUCCAUGGCACCAUGUACUUUUCCUUCACUACACUCUGCUGCACAGUGUACUUUCCUUUGUUGUCCUUAUUCCAGUUUAUUAUUUUUACAAUUAUUUGUUUUGGUCUAUCUCUUCUGAUAGACUAUAAAUUCCAUGAGGUCAAAGACCAGUCAUGUUCACUGUUCUGUUUACAGUGACUAGCACACAUCCUUGAAUGAAUGAAUGAACUAAUGCUGUUCUGGUAGUUUGGAGGAUAAUAAUAACAGAUAGUUGAGGCAAGAUUUUUCAUUUUAUCCUUGUAACAACCCUGUAAGAAGAUAUAUCAUUAACCUUUCAUAGGUGAGGAAGCCAAAGUUCAUAGAAGUGUAAGGUUACUCAUCCAGGCUAUACAGGGCAAUUCUUCAGGAAGAGGGACCAUUGGCAUUACUCGAAGUUUCAAAGACAGAUUUCUCCAGCAAUUUUCCUUACUCACCUGUCAAUUUCUGCCUUCAGAAGAGGAACCCCUAUCUCCAUGUGAUAUUGCAGAUUCAAAAGACUAUAAAUGUGCCAAAUAAUAGAAAAAAGAAAGCUGAC
ensembl:lncRNA